rnacentral:rRNA from 1 species
CAAGGUCUCCGUUGGUGAACCAGCGGAGGGAUCAUUACCGAGUUUACAACUCCCAAACCCCUGUGAACAUACCACUUGUUGCCUCGGCGGAUCAGCCCGCUCCCGGUAAAACGGGACGGCCCGCCAGAGGACCCCUAAACUCUGUUUCUAUAUGUAACUUCUGAGUAAAACCAUAAAUAAAUCAAAACUUUCAACAACGGAUCUCUUGGUUCUGGCAUCGAUGAAGAACGCAGCAAAAUGCGAUAAGUAAUGUGAAUUGCAGAAUUCAGUGAAUCAUCGAAUCUUUGAACGCACAUUGCGCCCGCCAGUAUUCUGGCGGGCAUGCCUGUUCGAGCGUCAUUUCAACCCUCAAGCACAGCUUGGUGUUGGGACUCGCGUUAAUUCGCGUUCCUCAAAUUGAUUGGCGGUCACGUCGAGCUUCCAUAGCGUAGUAGUAAAACCCUCGUUACUGGUAAUCGUCGCGGCCACGCCGUUAAACCCCAACUUCUGAAUGUUGACCUCGGAUCAGGUAGGAAUACCCGCUGAACUUAAGCAUA